UAAGCCUUAGUGUACGGUGCACUAGGAGUUUUGAUCUCCUCAGCGAAAGUUCGACUCUUUUACGCUUAA
rnacentral:tRNA from 1 species